AGCGAACUGAUUAGAAGCUUGCUUCUAUGACGUUAGCGGCGGACGGGUGAGUAACACGUGGGCAACCUGCCUGUAAGACUGGGAUAACUUCGGGAAACCGAAGCUAAUACCGGAUAGGAUCUUCUCCUUCAUGGGAGAUGAUUGAAAGAUGGUUUCGGCUAUCACUUACAGAUGGGCCCGCGGUGCAUUAGCUAGUUGGUGAGGUAACGGCUCACCAAGGCAACGAUGCAUAGCCGACCUGAGAGGGUGAUCGGCCACACUGGGACUGAGACACGGCCCAGACUCCUACGGGAGGCAGCAGUAGGGAAUCUUCCGCAAUGGACGAAAGUCUGACGGAGCAACGCCGCGUGAGUGAUGAAGGCUUUCGGGUCGUAAAACUCUGUUGUUAGGGAAGAACAAGUACGAGAGUAACUGCUCGUACCUUGACGGUACCUAACCAGAAAGCCACGGCUAACUACGUGCCAGCAGCCGCGGUAAUACGUAGGUGGCAAGCGUUAUCCGGAAUUAUUGGGCGUAAAGCGCGCGCAGGCGGUUUCUUAAGUCUGAUGUGAAAGCCCACGGCUCAACCGUGGAGGGUCAUUGGAAACUGGGGAACUUGAGUGCAGAAGAGAAAAGCGGAAUUCCACGUGUAGCGGUGAAAUGCGUAGAGAUGUGGAGGAACACCAGUGGCG
rnacentral:rRNA from 2 species